CUCUGUCAAUUUUACACAUUAUGUUAUAAAGGGUAUCUGCACAGUCUCUCCAUCCACCAAAGGGUCAUUAGCCUAAAACGACCGAAGACCUCUGGUGUACUCUCAUUAACAUUUGUGCAUGUUUUGAGCAGGAGGGGGUAGACUUUACAAGAUAAUGGAGGAUCCAUGGCUGUGAUUGGCUGUUUUUUUUUCUGUGCAGGAAAAUGCAGGGGGUGGGCUUGCCUGUCUGGAGGAGGAGGAGCAGGAGACCGUGACAGUGUGUGUGUGUGUGUGUGUGUGUGUGUGUGUGUGUGUGUGUGAGAGAGAGAGAGAGAGAGAGAGAGAGGGUAAGCAGCCACGCACAAGCUGGUUGGCAUGGACACACGACAGGCAAAUGGAAAAGAAAAAUUCUAAAGAUUCGGCUUUCUUCCAGUCCAUAAUCAGAUCUUUUCUGUGGCUUUGCUGCUCCUGACGGUACCAUGGUUACAGCUCAAAGCGCUGUCAGAUCUCUCCUCCUGCUAGUUUGCUGUGCUGUCCUCUGCUCAUCUAUAGGUGAGUGACUCUGACCUUGGCUCAAUGCCCCAUCUGACAUAUUUGCCUGGGUGAAAUCUCGCAAAACCUGUCAAGACCAUGCCCAGGUCAUAAUUCAAUCUAAAAUUAAAAGAAAGUAAUUAUAAUUUAUAUACAUAGAUAAUUUCUAUAAUUAAUAAAAAAAAAAAAAAAAAAAAACUUAAGUUUUGAAGUUUCCUAAGUGCUGAA
rnacentral:lncRNA from 1 species